rnacentral:rRNA from 1 species
GUGCCAGCAGCCGCGGUAAUACGAGGACCCCGAGCGUUAUCCGGAAUUACUGGGCGUAAAGAGCGAGUAGUCGGCUUUGCUAGUCGAAUGUUAAAUCUCCCGGCUUAACUGGGAAACCGCAUUCGAAACGGCAAGACUAGAGUCGGCGAGAGGCAUGCGGAACGUGCGGUGUAGGGGUGAAAUCCAUUGAUAUCGCACGGAACACCGAAAGCGAAGGCAGCAUGCUAGUACCGUACUGACGAUAAAUUGCUAAAGCGUGGGGAUCAAAAAGGAUUAGAUACCCUUGUAGUCCACGCCCUAAACGAUGUAUGUUGGAUGAUUGCCCGUUGGGGUGAUUGUCGAAGCCAACGCGAUAAACAUACCGCCUGGGAAGUACGGCCGCAAGGUUGAAACUCAAAUGAAUUGACGG